UACGUAGGGUGCGAGCGUUAAUCGGAAUUACUGGGCGUAAAGCGUGCGUAGGCGGUUCGUCAAGUCUGAUGUGAAAGCCCCGGGCUCAACCUGGGAACCUGCAUUGGAAACUAGCGAGCUUGAGUGUGGCAGAGGGAGGGUGAAUUCCACGUGUAGCAGUGAAAUGCGUAGAGAUGUGGAGGAACACCGAUGGCGAAGGCAGCCCCCUGGGUCAAGAUUGACGCUCAUGCACGAAAGCGUGGGGAGCAAACAGG
rnacentral:rRNA from 1 species